rnacentral:lncRNA from 1 species
UUCCAUCUCUGUUAAUUCUCUCUUUAGUUUUUUUUAUUCUCUCUCACUCCAUUUCUUGUCAUUUCGUAACAAACCCUAGGCACUUCCGCGGCAUCAACACCUUUCCGGCGUCUUACCUCCGAUCAAAGGCCAGCUUCCUUCCCAAUAUUUGAAAUUUGAAUCCUCAAAUCUAUCCCUUCAAUCCAUAGCAACCCAUUUAUUCGCCGACUCCCUCUCUCUCUCUGUCUGUCUGUUUUGGAGUUCUUCCUCUCAAUUUUUUUAGUCCUGGGUCACCGAAGGCCAAAAGAAUUCUUUUUUUUAGAAUAAUUCUCGACAGUAAAUGCUCCUUCCCUUUUCACUUCGAUGUGAAUUACCGGGAUCAUUCCUUCUCAUUUACUUGGCUUUUUUUUUUUUUUUCAGAUUUGACAAAAUCAUCAACAAGGAAAUCCCAGCUACCGUGGUGUAUGAAGAUGAUGAGGUGCUGAUCUUUUUUCUUUUUACUUCUGAUUUUAAAUUCUGCGGAUUCUGUCACUGCUUAUUUGUACGCUGGAAAGAUCUUUUAGAAAUCAGGCCUUUAUUUUCCUUCUUGAACUAUGGCUUGAUUCUUGCAACAGGUGAUGCUUAUUAUAUAUAUAUAUUUUUUCUAUUUGUUUCUUAAAACAAAUUUCCCUCGACCAAAUUCUGGUCGUGACCUGAAACUUGGUCUGGCUUUUAACAAUUCAAAAGGCACUACUUUUGACCUUUUCCAUUUAUAUCUUAAAAUGGAUAGAAAUGCAAACACCUCCUGCCCUUAUAAGUUGGAGAAGAUACGUCGUCCUUGUGCAUUUUGACAAGUAGCCCGCUAUUGGCCUAAAGUAAUGCAUGGAGACUUGUGGGGUGGCACAUUCUAAGUUAGAAUGAGAGAGUAGAGGUUCUUUUGUUAGUCUUAAGAGCUGUCUAUAUAAAGGGCUGUGUUUUUUAUUUUUGUUUAAUUUAUUUUCACUAGCGGUCUUGCUAGGGUAAUAGAUGAGAAUUUGUUGGAAUUUUGAGGGAUGCUGAUUGUAUUUAAGAGGAUGGAUUCUAAGGAAUGAACGUGGAAGUGGCCAUAUGCCUUGAAAUUAUUGGGUUCAUUAAUUGGAUCAGUCAGCUGGUCAAAUUUUUUCAGGGAAAUGAGAUAGCAAAUGUAUUAGGUAUGAUUGGCAUUUGAAGGGAAGUAUUUUCUUGGCUUGAUGGUGAUAUUUGUUCUGUUUUAUUGAGUUCUCUGUGCGAUCAUUGGUAUUUCCAUGUCCUGGCGCUGUCUGUUCUUACUUGGUGUUCGAGUUUUGGUUGACUUAUGCUACUGAUGUUUUAAUUCUACAUGUUGGUUCUGAAAUUUCUUUGUCCUUUGUUUGCUUUUUUGUGAGUGUUGUCAGUUAUUAGUGAAAGUUGUCUUAACAAAAAAAGAAGAUAGCAGGGUUUUUCAUGUUCAAGUAAGAGUUAGAAAGAAUGCAAUUGGCUUCAUAAUUGUUAAUGGAAAGAGGUUAGCAUUGAUUCUUAUCCCAAAUAGACACGCUAUUCCCUUCAUCGUAUUGCUCGGUAAUGUUCUUAUCCCAAUAUCUUUUCUUUUCAAUUUUAAUGUUCAUAUGCACUCUCCCAUGGCUUAAAUUCAUUCUUUAAUGCCCUAAAACUUGAGAUGAAUGGGGAUUAGAUGCCAGUUUAACCUAAUACCCAUAUUUCUUUUAUGGAUAUAAUGCUUAAAGUUCAACUAACACCACCUAACUUCAUUUCUAGUGAAAUUGUUUAAGCAAUUGUGCCUUUGUAUAAAUUGUUAAAAUUCUGUUAAAUGUACGGGUUAAACAUGGUUCUACUUAUCAGGGAAUUCGUUUGACAAUAGGGUUAUGCUGAUAACGCUUUCUGCAUAAUAUGGUGACUAGUCUAGCAGUCUGUGGAAUCGACCAAACUGAAUAAAGUAAAUUAAAAACAAUCAUGUGUUUCUUUAAUUUUCAUUUUUCUUGAAGUAUCCGUGUUCAACACAUUCCCGGCCGUGGGUAUAGCAUAUGACCCUCCAAAUACAUGAAAAGGUUAUGUUACUCGGACUUGGGUGUAAGUGUUGGACAUAGGCAUCUGACUUGAGUAUUUUCAGUUUUUUCUAGGAUUGCAUGUAUUUGGAGGACUCUUGGAGGACCAUAUAAGAUGCGUGCCUCUACUCACACCCACUUGAGUCCAAGUAACAUGUACUGAGUGUUGGUGCACUCAUAUGGUCCUCUGACUGUUUUUUUCACUCCAAACUAUCAAACUGGAUGAAUUCUAAUGUUUGUUAGUCAUAUGUUUCAACUCAGUUUUGUCCUUUGAUUUUUAUUUGAUCAAUAGGGACUAUGCCUAACAAGAAAUUCGGAGGAACCUUCACAUAUUGUAUCCAUGUUCGACUACUUAUGGUCUAAAACUAUUGCUACAAUAUUGUGGCCAUUGCAUGUCUUACCAACAAAGUUUGUAUUCAAAAAAAUCCGAUCUGCUAUUGGGAUACAGAAGGUUUGAUAUAUUAGCUACAUAAACUUGUUAUUGAAAAAUUUUCUUCCAGCUUCAGAGUGAACUCUAUUUAUCAAUCAAUAAAACCUGCAUGUAUUGUCUAUGUUUCGCCUACUCUUUCAUUUUUCUUUUCUUGAAGUACUUGGGUCUGACACUUGUGUUUGCCAUAUAACUGGACAUUGUUUGGGGAUAUUAGCCGAGCCCUCAAAUAUAUGGAAAAGCAUACUCAAAAUUAAACAUAUCAGUGUUACUUACAUACCCGUAUUGCAAUUGAAAAAUAAGAAACCUUACAAAGGAGAAAAAGAAGAGGAACCCAUAUUAUUAUUUUUCCUUUUAUGUGCAAAGAUCCUUGUUGGAAUGUUCCUUUUAUUUUUCUUUGUUCAGCAUUUCUAGUAUUUCUGUUCUGUCGUUUUAUUGAUUAUUUUCUAUCAUCCUCUAGACUGCCAAAAGCGAAGGUGGAGGUUUGCUAACGCAUAUUGAAAAGUUUUAUGAGGUUAGAUGCUAAUAUGUUUUUAGUUUUCAAAUGAAAAGGUUACUAGUCAAUAAUCUCUUAUUUUAUGAUGGCUCGUAUGUGCAGACAAUUGGUCUGGAAGUGCAGAAUGGAUAUGGUUUAAUAGAAACAUCACCUUGCGUUGCUGGUCGACAACCUUAUUAUAAUGUAAGACAGCUGUAGGUCUUUCUAUUAUAAUAUUCAACUGAAACUAUUCUCUUUCUUCCAUGCUACCCCUGAUAGAACAUGUGAUUUCUCCUAAGCAAUGUGAAUAAAUUCUUAAAAAGAGAACUAAUAGUUUUAUAUCGGUUAUCUCUGUUGCUUCUGUUCUUAUUUUUUCUUGUAGUACACGUGUCUGACACUUAGACAGACUUGGAUACAGGGAUAUGUCCCUACAAAAACAUUCCAAAUGCAUGGAAAAGCUUAAAAAAAUUGAACACACGUACAUUGGAUACAUAUCCGUAUAUAAGGCUCGCACCUGACUCCAAGUAACUAGCUAGAAAUCUACUUUUUUAAAUACAGGAUAUUGGGGAAAAAUGUGUUUGAGAUCAAUUGAAAAGUAAACAUGUUAUGCUGGUACUAUAUUAUCUUGCAAAGUUCCUUAAUUGGAUCAAAGGAAAGGAUCUAUGUAUGUGCUUUGGUAUUAAAGUGAGUUUAAGAGAGUUUUCGUAAGCAGUUAAUAAAAUGUAAAGAAAAAAUAAAACAUAAAUGGGGAUUUUGGUUUUCAGGUUUACAAUUCACUGUUUCGCUCUGUGUUUGAAAUCUAUAGAUAUGGGUCUGUCUGUUUCUUUUUGGUUGCUUUUUCAGAGACUGAUUUCAGGUAUGAAUCUUUACUUGGGUUUGCGUUUUCAUUUCUUUGCCUUUGUCUUUGUUUUUGUUUUUGUCUUUUGCCUUUUCAUUUCUAUUUUAUGGUUUUGGUUUUCAGGUUUAGACAUCACUGUUUCGUUCCGUGUUUCAAAUCUAUUGAUCUCGAUCUGUUUGUUCUUUUUGUUUGUUUCCUGUGUACUUUUGCGAGGUACAAAUCCUAAGUUUUUUCCUCUGUUUCUGUUUUUUAUAAUUUAUGCAAUCCCCCUAACUAUGUUUUUUUAUGGGAACAUCUCAGUUUUUUAGUUUUUGAUACAUGCUUUUCACUUGAAUUUAUUUAAGUUUUUUUUUUUUUUCGUUCUCUUUGCCAAAUCCGAGUAAAGGUUAUCAAGCUUGAGUUCAACUUGACAAUGACUGAAUUGAUUUGAGUUUUACUUGUAGCCGAAUCCAAGUGACUUAUGGGCACAUGUAUCUGGUUUUUACCCCUAGUAUUGAUGUUCAUUUUUUAGAUACGAGAGUUGCACAUUUUAAUUUUAGAUUAAUUCUAGAUGGUUGAGCCAUGCAUGAUUAGUUGAUUAAAGAUUUUACUUGCUCCGAUGAAUCAAAAUAACUUUCUUUUGUGAUAAAUGUUCUCUUUCUCAUUCUGUAUGUUGGAUUGAUCUUCAUGUUUAAAUUAUCCAAAUUAAAUGCUAAUUAUACUGCUAUGAAAUAUUAAAACAUAUUUCAUAUUUAUUUCUUUUUUUCUAACGUUUCUUUUACUUUUCUGUCUGGUAAUUGGGAAUGAAAACAUUUUUCAUAUUUAUUUCCCAUUUAUUAUCUCCGAUUCCCCCCCUUUUUUAUUUUCCUAACGUCUCUUUAUUUUCUUUGUCUUUAAUUUGAUAAUUUCCCCCAAAAAAAGUAAUUUAAAGAAGGUAUUAAUUAACAUAAAUGUUACCGUUGUCACAUGGGGAUUUAGAAAAUCUAUUCUUUUUGGGCAGUGACGGGCAAGAGAAAAGCUGCCCGUUUUCUUCAGCCUUUUCAAUUUCCCUUCCUUCUCCAUCAUUGGAAAUUGUUCUCUUUAAAUUUAUUUUCCUUUAUUUAUUUUCCCUUUUAUUCUCUGUUGUUUUUUCAUUCUUUGAUCUCUGUUCAUCCUCUCUUUCGUUUUCUUUAUUGUCUCUUCCUUCUUUUCUUGUCAUUUCAUAACAAACCCUAGGCACUUCCGCGGCAUCAACACCUUCCGGCGUCUUACCUCCGAUCAAAGGGCAGCUUCCUUCCCAUUAUUCGAAAUUUGAAUCCUCAAAUCUAUCUCUUCUAUCCAUAGCACCCUAUUUAUUCGCCGACUCCCUCUCUCUCUCUGUCUGUUUUGAAUUUCUUCCUCUCAUUUUUUUAGUUUUGGGUCACCGAAUGCCAAAAAAAAACACGGAAAGACGCUACACUAGGUUUUCUUUGCCGUUUCUGGUUUUUGUGAUUUUUUGGAAUUCCCUGC